rnacentral:rRNA from 1 species
AGGUAGUUGGUGGGGUAACGGCCCACCAAGCCUACGAUCCGUACGGGCCAUGAGAGUGGGAGCCCGGAGAUGGACACUGAGACAAGGGUCCAGGCCCUACGGGGCGCAGCAGGCGCGAAACUUCCGCAAUGCGCGAAAGCGUGACGGAGCCAACCAGAGUGCCCUCUCGCUGAGAGGGCUUUUGCGGAGUGUAAAUAGCUCCGCGAAUAAGGUCUGGGCAAGACCGGUGCCAGCCGCCGCGGUAACACCGGCAGCCCAAGUGGUAGCCACUUUUAUUGGGUCUAAAGCGUCCGUAGCCGGUCGAGUAAGUUCCUUGGGAAAUUUGGCUGCUUAACAGUCAAGCUUCCAGGGAAUACUGCUCGACUUGGGACUGGGAGAGGUCAGAGGUACUCCAGGGGUAGGGGUGAAAUCCGUUAAUCCCUGGGGGACCACCGGUAGCGAAGGCGUCUGACCAGACCAGGUCCGACGGUGAGGGACGAAGGCUAGGGUCGCGAACCGGAUUAGAUACCCGGGUAGUCCUAGCAGUAAACGAUGCGGGCUAGGUGUUGGCAUCACUGCGAGUGGUGCCAGUGCCGAAGGGAAGCCGUUAAGCCCGCCAUCUGGGGAGUACGGUCGCAAGGCUGAAACUUAA